rnacentral:lncRNA from 1 species
CAGUCCCUCUCCCACAUGGGGCUCAUUAAUAAUAAUAAUAAUAAUAAUGUUGGUAUUUGUUAAGCGCUUACUAUGUGCCGAGCACUGUUCUAGGCGCUGGGGUAGAUACAGGGUAAUCAGGUUGUCCCACAUAAGGCUCACAGUUAAUCCCCAUUUUACAGAUGAGGGAACUGAGGCCCAGAGAAGUGAAGUGACUUGCCCACAGUCACACAGCUGACAAGUGGCAGAGCUGGGAUUCGAACUCAUGACCUCUGACUCCCAAGCCCGUGCUCUUUCCACUGAGCCACGCUGCUUCAUUAUAAGCCCCUGAUCACUCAAGAAAAAUGGGGUGUGCAGAGACAAAGACAGACACGCGCAGGGGAUCUUCUGACUAGAAUGGUGUACGAGAGGGAUGAUGCAGUGUCCAGUAAAGGGUCACCUUUCAGUAUUCCCUCUCACACAUAGUAAGCGCUUAACAAAUACCAACAUUAUUAUGAUUAGAGUCCUUAGAACCACUCAUGAAAGAGGAAUAAGACGGGUACAGAUCUAGACAGUUACACUCCUAACACUAGACUCCCCCCACCACCCCAACGCCCUCCAAGGCAGCCCCUGUCCACUGCUCCAGCUCUGGAGGGGCUAAGGAGGUGCAGGGUGACCCCCUGGACACGACUGGGGGUGCAAGGAGGAUUGACCCAUCUGUAGAAUUAAGGACCCUGGACCUCAGUUCCACAGUCGAGUCGGACAGAAGCAGUUCCCUCCACAGAGACUUCGCCCCAGUUUGUCAAACCAGCCACAGCGUCGAGUGUGGCAGACCCCUUUGCUUACCUCUUCCUCUUGACGUAAGAGAAAGAGGGGGAUUCCUCUUGUUUACAUCUACAUUGUUCUGAAUCAGAACUACGCAAAAAUCAGAGCCUUCCGUAUAGCUCGGCACACAGUAAGCACUCAAUAAGUACGAUUAUCCCAUUUCCCCCACCAUCACCUUCACUUAGAGAUGGAAACGCAGCUCUUGAUUUCACCUCUCCGUGGAUAUCAGCUGCUCUGGGUCUUCACUGAAGGGAGAAGAGUCCUCUUGACCGGGAAGUGUGGAGAGGUUCCUGCGGGGCUCGGAAAUGAGCUGCUCCGUCUCUUCCCAUCAUCCGGACUCCUCGGACAUCCCCCUCCAGAAGACUCUGAGAUAUCACAAACCGUGGGAGACGCCCGAGAUGAGGGAGAUAUCAGAGCUCCAGACGAGGAAGAAAUCAGAGGCGACGGAGAUCCACACUGCACAGCGAAGAUCCUAUCCUCACGGCUGUGGUGA